GAUGGGAUUUGGGAUUGGGGUGGGAUUGGGUUCAGGAAAGGAGAUGGACAGGUUGGGGAUUGGGGUUGGAUUGGGAUUGGAUCAGAACCCGUGCUGGGCAGGACGCAGAGCAGCGAGUCGGCCUACGUGUGAUGGGAUUGGGGGUCAGGAUUGGGAUUGGGGUCAGGAAAGAUGGACACGAUCAGAGCUGGCACUGGGCGGGACGCAGAGAAGCAAGUCAGCCUAUGUGUGGUGGGAUUUGGGGUUUGGGAUGGGAUUGGGGUCAGGAAAGGAGAUGGACAGGUUUGGGAUUGGGGUUGGAUUGGAUCAGAACCUGUGCUGGGCAGGACACAGAGCAGUGAGUCGGUCUACGUGUGAUGGGAUUUGGGGAUUGGGAUUUGGGGUGGGAUUGGGGUUGGAUUGGGGUGGGAUUGGGAUUGGAUUGCCAUGAGAUUUGCAUGUGAUUGGGAUUGGGGUCAGGAGAGAUGGACGGGAUCAGAGCCCACACUGGGCAGGACGCAGAGCAGCGAGUCGGCCUACGUGUGAUAGGAUGGGGGAUUGGGAUUAGAUUGGGGUCAGGAUGGGAUCGAGAUUGGAUCAGGAUUGGGAUUGGGGUCAGGAGAGANUGUGAACCAUUUAUUUUUCUGACCAUUUUGGGCCCAUUUUGUGACAUUUUUGUGCCCAGGUCGUGUUCAGGAACGCCCUGGAGAUCUCCAGCCCAUCUCACCUGUCCCUCACCUGUCUCUCUGUACCCAGGUUGUGUUCAGGAACGCGCUGGAGAUCUCCAGCCCAUCUCACCCAUCUCACCUGUCCCUUUGUGCCCAUCUCACCUGUCUCUCAUGUGUCCCUUUUUAAUGCCCAGGUCGUGUUCAGGGAUGCUGUGGAGAUCUCCAUCUCACCUGUCCCUCACCUGUCUCACCUGUCUCUCCCAUCCAGGUUGUGUCCAGGGAUGCUCUGGAGAUCUCCAUCUCACCUGUCCCUCACCUGUCUCCCACACCCAGGUCGUGUUCAGGAACGCUCUGGAGAUCUCCAGCCCCUCUCACCUGUGUCUCACCUGUCCCUUUUUAAUGCCCAGGUCGUGUUCAGGAACGCGCUGGAGAUCUCCAGCCCCUCUCACCCAUCCCUGUUUUGACCCAGGUUGUAUCCAGGGAUGCUCUGGAGAUUUCCAGCCCCUCUCACCUGUCCCUCACCCCUCUCACCUGUGUCUCACCUGACUCUCACCUGUCUCCCACACCCAGGUUGUGUUCAGGAACGCUCUGGAGAUCUCCAGCCCAUCUCACCUGUCCCUCACCUGUCCCUCACCUGUCUCUCACGUGUGUCUCCCACACCCAGGUUGUGUUCAGGAACACCCUGGAGAUCUCCAGCCCCUCUCACCUGUCCCUCACCCCUCUCACCUGUCUCCCACCCAGGUGGUGUUCAGGAACGCUCUGGAGAUCUCCAGCCCCUCUCACCCAUCUCACCUGUCCCUCACCCAUCUCACCUGUCCCUCUGUGCCCAGGUGGUGUUCAGGAACGCUCUGGAGAUCUCCAGCCCAUCUCACCUGUCCCUCACCUGUCCCUUUUAAUGCCCAGGUGGUGUUCAGGAACGCUCUGGAGAUCUCCAGCCCCUCUCACCUGUCCCUCACCCAUCUCACCUGUCCCUCACCCAUCUCACCUGUGUCUCACCUGUCUCCCACCCAGGUUGUGUUCAGGAACGCGCUGGAGAUCGGCUUCCUGGGCGGGCAGUACUUCCUGUACGGCUUCAACGUGCCGGCCAUCUUCGAGUGCGACCGCUACCCGUGCGUCAAGGAGGUGGAGUGCUACGUGUCGCGGCCCACCGAGAAGAGCG
rnacentral:lncRNA from 1 species